rnacentral:lncRNA from 1 species
GCUCUCAGCCCUGCGGGCCCCGCACCCGCCGGAGCUGCUGCGCCCAGACCCGCGACCGGCCCAUCGCGCUCGCCCGCGCCCGCUCCUCAGCCCCGGAUCCGCGCGGCCUGGCCGGCCCCGGCCUCGGGCCCGCGGCGCUCUCCCGCCUGAGAACCAGUCCUGAGGAAGGGCGGCGCGGGGGCGCGGAGAAGACAGCGGCGUGGGCUUAUCGGGUCCGGAGACUUUUGCCCUCUGGUUGGAAGCUACAGUGCAACUCCGCUCAUCAGCACAUCAAGGAGGACGCCAUGUUGCCGCGGCCCAGCAUGCACCGCGGCCGACGGCGUGACCCACGGGCCAAACCUCCUCGGAGCGCUCCGGCCGCGCUUUCCCGGGAUGCGCAGAGGGGGGAACGGCUCCUCCACCCCCCACCGCCCUUCUUCGUUACUAUGGUUACCACAAUUCCGCUCUCCAGAGUUUAUGGCGUUCAUUCAAUAGAUGCGUGAUCUCCAAGUCAAUCCUACAAAUGAAACUAUAUUUUGAAAAGGCAGCCAAAGCUUCAGAAAGAACCACUGGGGAAAAAAAAAAAAAAAAAAAAAGGACCACUGAUAAUAUGACAGAGGAAGAUAGUGGCAGGGUUAGGGGGGCGCAGAGGAUCCUCCAUGAGCUGAGAGAUUUUGCAUCACCUCAGCCUUCAAGAUCCAACCACAAGACAGAGCGGAGGAGGAAAUGCACAAGGGCAAGGAAACAGAAGUGGAUCCUGGGCAGAAAUGUGCCGUCGCCCCCAGCCCCUUCCUUCCCACUCUGGGGGCUGUUUGGUGUAGGGCGGAGAAGAGCCUGUCUGGGGAAUCCCAGAAUCUGGGCCUGGCUUCCAGCACGGGCACCCUGGCCAGGCCGGCGGGAUAGCCUGGUGCACCCAGCUCCAAGGCCUUCUGGGUCACACACUGCUGUCCUCAGCCCUUAGAAAUUCUUCACGGAGAAAGGACGAGUGGUCCUGGGAGGCCAGUGGUCUUUCCCAGCUCCCAAGUUCCACCCAGGUGAGCACCUGCCUUCCUCCCUCAGGGCCCUGGGGGUCAAAGGGCCACGAUGUGGUCCAGGACAGACAGUGCUGGAAAAGGAAAAGGAAGGAAUGUUUGUAUGAUAGAGACUAUACCGAGAA